rnacentral:rRNA from 1 species
UUCCGGUUGAUCCUGCCGGACCCCACUGCUAUCGGGAUAGGACUAAGACAUGCUAGUCGUGUGCCUCAGCCAAAACGAGGCACGGCGCACAGCUCAGUAACACGUGGCUAACCUGCCCUUUAGGACGAGAAUAACCCCGGGAAACUGGGGCUAAUGCUCGAUAGGUGAAGAACUCUGGAAUGAGUCUUCACUUAAAAGAGUCUGCGUUAUGCUCGUAGAUUUCGCUUAAGGAUGGGGCCGCGACCGAUCAGGUUGUUGGUGAGGUAAUGGCUCACCAAGCCUUUUACCGGUGCGGGCCGUGAGAGCGGGAGCCCGGAGAUGGGCACUGAGACAAGGGCCCAGGCCCUACGGGGCGCAGCAGUCGCGAAAACUUUGCAAUACACGAAAGUGUGACAGGGCUAUCCCGAGUGCCAUCCGCUGAGGAAGGCUUUUACCCAGUCUAGAACGCUGGGGGAAUAAGGAGAGGGCAAGUCUGGUGUCAGCCGCCGCGGUAAUACCAGCUCUCCGAGUGGUGUGGAUGUUUAUUGGGCCUAAAGCAUCCGUAGCUGGCUAAGUUAGUCCCCUGUUAAAUCCAACGAAUUAAUCGUUGGAUCGCGGGGGAUACUGCUUGGCUAGGGGACGAGAGAGGCAGACGGUAUUUCCGGGGUAGGGGUGAAAUCCUAUAAUCCCGGGAAGACCACCAGUGGCGAAGGCUGUCUGCUAGAACGCGCCCGACGGUGAGGGAUGAAAGCUGGGGGAGCGAACCGGAUUAGAUACCCGGGUAGUCCCAGCUGUAAACGAUGCAGGCUAGGUGUUUGGAUGGCCACGUGCCGUUCUAGUGCCGCAGGGAAGCUGUUAAGCCUGCCGCCUGGGGAGUACGAUCGCAAGAUUGAAACUUAAAGGAAUUGGCGGGGGAGCACCACAAGGGGUGAAGCUUGCGGUUUAAUUGGAGUCAACGCCGGG